rnacentral:rRNA from 1 species
GAGGAAAAGAAACCAACAGGGAUUGCCUCAGUAAUGGCGAACGAAGCGGCAACAGCCCAAAUUUGAAAUCUGGCGUAAGCCCGAGUUGUAAUUUGGAGGUAGACUAUUUGGGUGUCUGUGUCAACUAAGUGCCUUGGAAUAGGCCGCCGUAGAGGGUGAGAGCCCCGUGAGUUGACUAGCAGUUAUUCAGUUUGUCUUCCGACGAGUCGAGUUGUUUGGGAUUGCAGCUCUAAGUGGGUGGUAUAUUCCAUCUAAGGCUAAAUAAUAGCGAGAGACCGAUAGCAAACAAGUACAGUGAUGGAAAGAUGAAAAGAACUUUGAAAAGAGAGUGAAAUAGUACGUGAAAUUGUUGAAAGGGAAGGGUAUCUGAUCCGACGUGGUAUUUAGAUGUCGCCUGCCCUUGUGGCGGGUGCUCCAUUUUUUUACUGGGCCAGCGUGAGUUAGAAGGGGAUGAAAAGGCGGGAACGAAUGUAGCCUUCCUCCCUUUGGGAGAGGGGUGUUAUAACAUUCCUGUUUAGUUCCUUUCUGACUGAGGUCCGCGGUUUUUUAUUACCAAGGACGCUGGCAGAACGAGCAGAUACCGCCCGUCUUGA